rnacentral:rRNA from 1 species
CCCUUAGAUGUCCUGGGCCGCACGCGCGCUACACUGACAUGUUCAACAAACCUCCUAGUUCGACAGGAUUUGGGAAAUCUUUGAACGCAUGUCGUGAUAGGGAUAGAUCAUUGCAAUUAUUGAUCUUGAACGAGGAAUUCCUAGUAAACGCGAGUCAUCAGCUCGCAUUGAUUACGUCCCUGCCCUUUGUACACACCGCCCGUCGCACCUACCGAUUGAAUGUUUCGGUGAAGAUUCCGGAUAGGACUUUUUUGAUUUAUUUCAAUUUUGUCUUAAAAGCUAUCUAAACCUCAACAUUUAGAGGAAGGUGAAGUCGUAACA